rnacentral:rRNA from 1 species
UGGGGAAUAUUGCACAAUGGGGGGAAACCCUGAUGCAGCGACGCCGCGUGAAGGAAGAAGUAUCUCGGUAUGUAAACUUCUAUCAGCGAGGGAAGAAGUGACGGUACCUGACUAAGAACGCCCCGGCUAACUACGU